rnacentral:tmRNA from 1 species
GGGGGCGAUCGGUUUCGACCGGAUGGCUACGGUGACGGUGGCAUGCCGAGGAUGCUCGUUGGCCUCGUAAAUCAUCGAGCAACGCAUUAACUGCCAACAGCGAUGUUGCAGGCCGGGUCGGCUUUGCCGCUCCGGUUCGAAUGGCCGCCUAAUCACAGGCGACCUCAGCUCUGCCUGAAGCCCGCGGCGGGCGGGGCUGCAACGCAGCGGGCUGGUCGCGUCGCUCGGCCGUUGGCGGCGCGGCGAGAAACAGACGGCUGGGAACCGGCGUAGGCGGCCGGCGGUCGCCGCGGGUUCCGAGAUCAAAAUGCCGGCUAAGCAUGUAGAGGCCGUCAUCUGGGUUAUCUCGGGACGGGGGUUCGAUUCCCCCCGCCUCCAUUG